rnacentral:lncRNA from 1 species
UAUUGGGCUUGGGACAAAAAGAAUGGUAGGGACUACAAACAUCCAACGCAAAUGCAAGCAAAGAAAUAGAAAAAGGUCAUGGUUCAAGGUUGAAACUGUAUGAAAUACUUCAUUUUUUGCAGAAACUUAGUAUCUAUAUAACAUGACAGGCCCAUCCAACUCUCUCCGAACAUGAAAGAAAGCGGCUGUGCAGGGUGAUGGACUGCCAGAAACUCUCUAUUGAUGCUUGCAUGCACGCUGCUCAGAACGAACGGCUUCCACUAAGAGUAGUGGUGCAAGUCCUAUUUUCUGAGCAGGUGAAGAUCAGCAAUGCAAUAUCCAACAACUCACUCAAAGAUGCAGGAGAUUCUCAUUAUCAACCUCUCCCACUAAGAGUAGUGGUGCAAGUCCUAUUCUCUGAGCAGG